GCCAGCCGGGUGUCAGACAGAAGGGCCACCAGUUUCAAAUGCCUCAGGGAACAAUGGCACAGAGAGCUCAAAAAGGACCAGUAGAACUGAGGAGGAAACCAUUACGUCACACACAGAGAGUACAGCACAAGGGAAUGAGAAGGCUGGAACAUUCCGGAAGAGAACUCCAGGAGAGAGACCCUGAUUUCUCCUCUCUUGCUACUGAAUGAAAGCGGGCAGGUC